UGCCUAUUUGAGGAUUGUAUGCUUUUUAAACAUUUUUUUAAAAGUUUAUUUAUUUAUUUUGAGAGAAAGAGAGCACCAGCGAGGGAGGGGCAGAGAGGAGAGACAGAAUCCCAACCAGGCUCGGUGCGAGGCUCAAACUCACGAACUGCGAGAUCAUGGCCUAAGCCAAGAUCAAGAGUUGGAGGCUCGACUGACUGCGCCACGCAGAUGCCGCGGGGAUUGUAGGUUAAAGGUGAAAGAUAUCAGCACAUCUGCCUCUCCUGGUACAUGAGGUCACGCCUGAACCCUGUGGGCUGUGGCAGUGAUAGGUAGAGACGUCGGCUGAAUUUCCGGCUGCUUUGCGCCGAGGCAUCUACUGCGGGAGAUUGAAGUAGUAGAUGUCCCCGUCCUUGUGGGACUCGAAUACCGUAUUAGCUGGCGACUGUUGGUGUCGUGUGGAGUGACAGUCUGACACCCCUGCCAUGAAGUUUGCUGGUAACGCUGAGGUCAGCAGCAGCCCUGACAACAGCUGUGCCGCAGCGGAGGGGAUGCUGUCUGUCCGUGAUCUUCUGCUCGUGGCCAAAGUGCCGAUCCUGCGAGCGCAUAGCCCGUUAGGCGGGAACGUCACCGCCAUUUGCCUGUGUUCUGCUCUGAAGGUGGACAGCCUCCAACACUGUGCCGCUAGACCGGGAACCGGCGUCUUACUUACUGUGAUCAAGAACGUGACCUCAGCAUUAGUGCCUCCUUUGGGUGAGGUCCUGUACUAGGCUGUGUCUACACUGGUGGAUAAAAGAGACAUGUGACCCUUGCACCAUGGAGCUUGGAAUCUGAAGAGGAAGAGCGAGGGAGAGAAUCCCAAGCAAGCUCCUGACUGUCAGCGUAGAGCCCGACACAGGGCUCGAUCUCAUGAAACAUGACAUCGUGACCACAGCCAAGAUCAAGGGUUGGACAUUUAACCGCCUGAGCCACCCAGGCACCCUGUCAUACUUUAGACCUGUGGAAAGGCCAGUAGGAAGGAGCGCGGUGACCCAACAAAGUAACAGACCACAGUCGCCGGUAUUUUCUUUCCUCUUCAAAACCACUUCUGCUCCAAAGACCAUGAACCUGAACUGAAGAAACGACUCUUUCCUGCUGGUGUGAGAUAAUUCAGUCUCCAUGAUGUCUUAAUCCUGGGCCUCCCUUAAUUGACUUCUAACUGUGCUGAACUGUGGCUGCUAGGAGUUGCAAUGUGGAUCGCAAUUUACAAGGCACUGGAAUCGUUUCUCGUCCUCAAAUUAGUCCUGAGCCAUACUCAAGAAAGAUUAAAAAAAAAAAUAGGUUUACCUUUCCUGGCUGUCUUGCCAUCUCAAAAUGGCCACAGAACUUACUCAGCUUUGAAGAGACUGGAUCCUCCAUUUGAGACCUGAAGACCCUCCAUCAUGCAAGACUGACUGCCUGCCUAUAACUUUGUGGAGAGGCUGGUAUUAACAUACCAGGGCUCAUGAGUGAGCAUUCAGAUUGUUCUAUGAGGAUGGUACAGUAUUGAUUUCAAGUUUACAUAAGACACUUGCUUGGAAGCAAAUUACAGGUAGGUACUGGCCUAUACAUUUUCUUACCUUAACAGUUCAAACCUCAAACAGGAGGUAAAGUAUCCUCUUUUAUCUACUUACCCUUGACCUAUGGCCUUAGCCAUGCGUGGCAUAUGCAGAUGAUUUUGAGAAUAUUCAGUUGUGGGUAGGCUACAUGUAUAAAAGUCUAGAGACACGGGAAUGCUUUUUCUAAGUCUGUUUUUCUUGAAAAAAUCCCAUUGAGGAAAUUAUCUGAUGCUUCAUACUCCCACACAUAAAAAGAAAGCAGCUAGAAUAAGAAGAAAAUCAUCAAUUUUAUUACCAUUGGCAGGAUUUACUAACCAUCUAUUUGCACAUGGCUGGGUCCUGGGCAGGGUGGCCCUGCUCUUUUAGAGCUACAACGAGCCUGAAUAAUUUAGAUUAGGUGACUACACUAAUUGAAUUUACCACGUAAUUAGCUCACGGUUUUCACUUCACUUUGCCAUGCAAAUCCUUUCUAAAAAGUAAAACCCAUUCUAAUUUAACUGUUUUAUAAAUACUUCAGAUCAAAGCUUGGCCAACCUACUUAUAUAUUUAUAGAAAGAAUAUACCUCUU